GAUGAACGCUAGCUACAGGCUUAACACAUGCAAGUCGAGGGGUAACGAGAGGGAAGCUUGCUUUCCUUGUCGACGACCGGCGCACGGGUGAGUAACGCGUAUCCAACCUGCCCCCAACUAAGGAAUAACCUUGCGAAAGUAAGACUAAUACCUUAUAAUUUCCUCAGAUGACAUCUGACGAGGAAUAAAGAUUUAUCGGUUGUGGAUGGGGAUGCGUCUGAUUAGCUUGUUGGCGGGGUAACGGCCCACCAAGGCAACGAUCAGUAGGGGUUCUGAGAGGAAGGUCCCCCACAUUGGAACUGAGACACGGUCCAAACUCCUACGGGAGGCAGCAGUGAGGAAUAUUGGUCAAUGGGCGGAAGCCUGAACCAGCCAAGUAGCGUGCAGGAUGACGGCCCUAUGGGUUGUAAACUGCUUUUAUACAGGAAUAAAGUUAGCCACGUGUGGUUAUUUGUAGGUACUGUAUGAAUAAGGACCGGCUAAUUCCGUGCCAGCCGCCGCCGUAA
rnacentral:rRNA from 1 species